GACGAACGCGGCGGCGUGCCUAAUACAUGCAAGUCGAGCGGACAGAUGGGAGCUUGCUCCCUGAUGUUAGCGGCGGACGGGUGAGUAACACGUGGGUAACCUGCCUGUAAGACUGGGAUAACUCCGGGAAACCGGGGCUAAUACCGGAUGGUUGUUUGAACCGCAUGGUUCAAACAUAAAAGGUGGCUUCGACUACCACUUACAGAUGGACCCGCGGCGCAUUAGCUAGUUGGUGAGGUAAUGGCUCACCAAGGCAACGAUGCGUAGCCGGCCUGAGAGGGUGAUCGGCCACACUGGGACUGAGACACGGCCCAGACUCCUACGGGAGGCAGCAGUAGGGAAUCUUCCGCAAUGGACGAAAGUCUGACGGAGCAACGCCGCGUGAGUGAUGAAGGUUUUCGGAUCGUAAAGCUCUGUUGUUAGGGAAGAACAAGUACCGUUCGAAU
rnacentral:rRNA from 1 species